AACCUUUACACUGCACGAGAGUGCGAUAAGGGGACUCCACGUGCGAGGGCAUAUAGUCCUCGCUUUUCUCGACCGUAAGGAGGUCGAGGAAUAAGUGCUGGGCAAGACCGGUGCCAGCCGCCGCGGUAAUACCGGCAGCACGAGUGAUGACCGCUCUUAUUGGGCCUAAAGCGUCCGUAGCUGGCCACGCAAGUCUAUCGGGAAAUCCGCGCGCUCAACGCGCGGGCGUCCGGUGGAAACUGUGUGGCUUGGGACCGGAAGAUCCAGAGGGUACGUCCGGGGUAGGAGUGAAAUCCCGUAAUCCUGGACGGACCACCGGUGGCGAAAGCGCUCUGGAAAGACGGAUCCGACGGUGAGGGACGAAAGCUCGGGUCACGAACCGGAUUAGAUACCCGGGUAGUCCGAGCUGUAAACGAUGUCUGCUAGGUGUGCCACAGGCUACGAGCCUGUGGUGUGCCGUAGGGAAGCCGUGAAGCAGACCGCCUGGGAAGUACGUCCGCAAGGAUGAAACUUAAAGGAAUUGGCGGGGGA
rnacentral:rRNA from 1 species